GUGCUUGCCUCAGCAGCACACAUACUAAAAUUGGAACGACAGAGAGAAGACUAGCAUAGUCCUUGUGUAAGGAUGACAUGCAAAUUCAGGAAGCAUCCCAUAUUUUG